rnacentral:tRNA from 1 species
GGGAGUGUCACUCAGUGGUGGAGUGUCUGCCUGGUAAGCACAAGGCUCUGUUUUCAAUCCCA